rnacentral:rRNA from 3 species
AGCGCCGAUGGUACUGCGACCGGGAGGUCGUGGGAGAGUAGGACGUCGCCGGAC